GACGAACGCUGGCGGCGUGCUUAACACAUGCAAGUCGAACGGUAAGGCUCCAGCUUGCUGGGGUACACGAGUGGCGAACGGGUGAGUAACACGUGGGUGACCUGCCCUGCACUUCGGGAUAAGCCUGGGAAACUGGGUCUAAUACCGGAUAGGACUGCACCGUGAGGGUGUGGUGGAAAGUUUUUUCGGUGUGGGAUGGGCCCGCGGCCUAUCAGCUUGUUGGUGGGGUAAUGGCCUACCAAGGCGGCGACGGGUAGCCGGCCUGAGAGGGUGGACGGCCACAUUGGGACUGAGACACGGCCCAGACUCCUACGGGAGGCAGCAGUGGGGAAUAUUGCACAAUGGGCGGAAGCCUGAUGCAGCGACGCCGCGUGGGGGAUGACGGCCUUCGGGUUGUAAACUCCUUUCACCAUCGACGAAGGGUUUCUGACGGUAGAUGGAGAAGAAGCACCGGCUAACUACGUGCCAGCAGCCGCGGUAAUACGUAGGGUGCGAGCGUUGUCCGGAAUUACUGGGCGUAAAGAGCUCGUAGGUGGUUUGUCGCGUCGUCUGUGAAAUUCCGGGGCUUAACUCCGGGCGUGCAGGCGAUACGGGCAUAACUUGAGUACUGUAGGGGAGACUGGAAUUCCUGGUGUAGCGGUGAAAUGCGCAGAUAUCAGGAGGAACACCGGUGGCGAAGGCGGGUCUCUGGGCAGUAACUGACGCUGAGGAGCGAAAGCAUGGGGAGCGAACAGGAUUAGAUAUCCUGGUAGUCCAUGCCGUAAACGGUGGGCGCUAGGUGUGGGUUUCCUUCCACGGGAUCCGUGCCGUAGCUAACGCAUUAAGCGCCCCGCCUGGGGAGUACGGCCGCAAGGCUAAAACUCAAAGGAAUUGACGGGGGCCCGCACAAGCGGCGGAGCAUGUGGAUUAAUUCGAUGCAACGCGAAGAGCCUUACCUGGGCUUGACAUAUACAGGAUCGCGCCAGAGAUGGUGUUUCCCUUGUGGCUUGUAUACAGGUGGUGCAUGGUUGUCGUCAGCUCGUGUCGUGAGAUGUUGGGUUAAGUCCCGCAACGAGCGCAACCCUUGUCUUAUGUUGCCAGCACGUUGUGGUGGGGACUCGUAAGAAACUGCCGGGGUUAACUCGGAGGAAGGUGGGGAUGACGUCAAAUCAUCAUGCCCCUUAUGUCCAGGGCUUCACACAUGCUACAAUGGUCGGUACAGUGGGUUGCCAGUCCGUGAGGGCGAGCUAAUCCCGCAAAGCCGGUCUCAGUUCGGAUCGGGGUCUGCAACUCGACCCCGUGAAGUCGGAGUCGCUAGUAAUCGCAGAUCAGCAACGCUGCGGUGAAUACGUUCCCGGGCCU
rnacentral:rRNA from 1 species